rnacentral:antisense_RNA from 1 species
AUUUCUUUUAAUGCCGCUUCCCCUUUGCUACCGGUUUGUUUUACAAACUCAGCGUAAAAGGGUUUCAUUGCCUCUUUAAAUGGGGUGAGAUCCGGAUGAGUGACGGUGACGCCUUGU